GUAGGGGUGGCAGAGUGGUUGAAUGCACCUGACUGUAAAUCAGGCUCUUAGGACACGUAGGUUCAAAUCCUACCCCUUACACCA
rnacentral:tRNA from 1 species